CCCGCCUGCCCGGUGACCCUGGGUUAAACGGCCGCGGUAUUUUAACCGUGCGAAGGUAGCGCAAUCACUUGUCCUUUAAAUGAAGACCUGUAUGAAUGGCUAGACGAGGGCUUAGCUGUCUCCUCCCCCCGGUCAAUGAAAUUGAUCUCCCCGUGCAGAAGCGGGGAUACUUACAUAAGACGAGAAGACCCUAUGGAGCUUUAGACACUAGGCAGCCCACGUUAAACUUCCCCCAUAAAGAGGAAAAAACAUUUGUGACUCCUGUCUCUCCUGUCUUCGGUUGGGGCGACCGCGGAGGAUAAAAGAGCCUCCAUGUGGACUGAGGUUACUAACCUCACAACUAAGAGCUGCAGCUCCAAGCAACAGAAAAUCUGACCAAAAUGAUCCGGCAUAAUGCCGAUUAACGGAACAAGUUACCCUAGGGAUAACAGCGCAAUC
rnacentral:rRNA from 1 species